GUUUGAUCAUGGCUCAGAACGAACGCUGGCGGCAGGCUUAACACAUGCAAGUCGAGCGCCCCGCAAGGGGAGCGGCAGACGGGUGAGUAACGCGUGGGAAUCUACCCUUGACUACGGAAUAACGCAGGGAAACUUGUGCUAAUACCGUAUGUGUCCUUCGGGAGAAAGAUUUAUCGGUCAAGGAUGAGCCCGCGUUGGAUUAGCUAGUUGGUGGGGUAAAGGCCUACCAAGGCGACGAUCCAUAGCUGGUCUGAGAGGAUGAUCAGCCACAUUGGGACCGAGACACGGCCCAAACUCCUACGGGAGGCAGCAGUGGGGAACAUUGGACAAUGGGCGCAAGCCUGAUCCAGCCAUGCCGCGUGAGUGAUGAAGGCCCUAGGGUUGUAAAGCUCUUUCACCGGAGAAGAUAAUGACGGUAUCCGGAGAAGAAGCCCCGGCUAACUUCGUGCCAGCAGCCGCGGUAAUACGAAGGGGGCUAGCGUUGUUCGGAAUUACUGGGCGUAAAGCGCACGUAGCGGAUCGAUCAGUCAGGGGUGAAAUCCCAG
rnacentral:rRNA from 1 species